rnacentral:rRNA from 1 species
GUGGGGAAUAUUGGACAAUGGGGGGAACCCUGAUCCAGCCAUGCCGCGUGUGUGAAGAAGGCCUUUUGGUUGUAAAGCACUUUAAGCGAGGAGGAGGCUACUUAGAUUAAUACUCUAGGAUAGUGGACGUUACUCGCAGAAUAAGCACCGGCUAACUCUGUGCCAGCAGCCGCGGUAAUACAGAGGGUGCAAGCGUUAAUCGGAUUUACUGGGCGUAAAGCGCGCGUAGGUGGCCAAUUAAGUCAAAUGUGAAAUCCCCGAGCUUAACUUGGGAAUUGCAUUCGAUACUGGUUGGCUAGAGUAUGGGAGAGGAUGGUAGAAUUCCAGGUGUAGCGGUGAAAUGCGUAGAGAUCUGGAGGAAUACCGAUGGCGAAGGCAGCCAUCUGGCCUAAUACUGACACUGAGGUGCGAAAGCAUGGGGAGCAAACAGGAUUAGAAACCCGAGUAGUCC